rnacentral:misc_RNA from 1 species
CAAGUACACUACCGGCCUAACCCGCCGGCUAUGUAUAACCCUUUGUUGUCCGACUCUGUUGCCUCCGGGGCGACCCUGCCUUCGGGCGGGGGCCCCGGGUGGACACUUCAAACUCUUGCGUAACUUUGCAGUCUGAGUAAAUUUAAUUAAUAAAUUA